AAUAAAAUUAAUAAUCAGAUAAGGAUAUAUAAUACAAUGUGAUGUAGUAGUCUAUAAAUAUGGUGUAUGGAAAUAUGAAACUCCACAACCUUUCCUUCAUUUUUGUAGACAGAAAACAUGAGCCCUCUUCGUAUCCUAAUUUCACUCUUUUUGCCUACUUUCUUUCUCUUCUCAUGCUCCUUCAUACCUGUUGUCCUAUCUAAAACAAGUAUCCAAAGCCAACGCCUUGAUGACCAAAGAUCUGCCCUGGUUCAGUUGCAGCAAGAUCUUUACUUUUCUCCUAAUUUUACUUUUUCUUCCAAACUUGAGCUUUGGGAUCUCAAAACAGAUUAUUGCUCUUGGAAAGGAGUCACGUGUGAUGGUCUUGGUUAUGUUAUUGGCCUCGAUCUUAAUUCCAAAAACCUUUCAGGAAAUUUUCAAUCUAUUUUUGAUCUUCAUCAUCUUCAACGCCUUAAUUUUGCUGGAAACAAUUUUAAUACCACUCUGUUUUCCUAUGAGUUUGAAGGACUCCAAAAUUUGACUCAUUUAAAUCUCUCAGCCUCAUGUUUUCACGGUCAAAUUCCAAUAGCAAUUUCACACUUAACAAGGUUAGUGUCUCUUGAUCUAUCUAAUCAAGAUUAUUGCUAUUGGAGAAAUUAUCAAAUUGUUGAUUCACAUGAUGAUGAUUAUUAUCCUAUUCUAAAGCUAGAGAAACCAACUUUCAACUCAUUAGUCAAGAAUUUGAUGUUUCUCGAAGAGCUCUAUUUGGAUAGUGUGAACAUUUCAACUCAAAGUACAAAAUGGUGUGAAAUCAUAUCGUCAACACUUCCAAAUUUACAUGUGUUAAGCAUGGCAUCUUGUGGUUUGACAGGUCCACUUUGUUCUUCUUUCUCCACACUCCAUUUUCUUUCCAAACUUAACCUUGACGAUAACCUAAUCUCUUAUUUGCCUCUCAAUUUCUUGGAAAUUUCCUCUCGGUUGGUUUCUCUCAGUCUAAGGUAUUGCAAUUUGAGUGGGCAUUUUCCAACUGAAGUUUUCUUACUGCCCAAAAUGCAAAGCAUUGAUAUUUCAGAAAAUCACAAUCUCAUGGGUCAGUUGCCAGAAUUUUCGAUUAACAACAAUUUGCAGGUCUUAUCACUAUUCUGGACAAAUUUCAGCGGAGGAUUACCAAAAUCAAUUGGUAAUCUUAGGUUAUUGACAAAAUUAGAUCUUGGUGAUUGUUAUUUCUCUGGAUCCAUUCCAUCAUCAGUUGCAAAUCUUACAAAUCUUGUGGAACUGGAUCUAUCAUAUAAUAAUUUCAGUGGUUUAAUCCCUCCAUUUCAUAGAUUUGGAGUUCCAAAUCUUGCAAAUCUCUAUUUGGGCUGUAAUCAUUUAAGGGGAUCCAUUCCUAACUCAAUCCUUCAACUCCCACGGCUUGAAUCACUUGAUAUUGGCUAUAACAACUUUGGUUCUAUGAAGCUUGACAUGUUCUUUCAACUCAAGAACUUACGGUCUCUCGAUCUAUCCAAUAUGAGCUUGUUAAUUGGGAGCGACAACAAAAGCCUUAUAUUUCCCCAAUUGGAGGAGUUAGCCCUAAGGUCAUGCAACCUUACUGGAUUUCCAGAAUUCAUCAAAACACAAGGCAAGUUGGCUGAUCUAGAUCUUUCUAACAACCAAAUCCAUGGUUUUGUGCCUAAUUGGUUGUGGAAGACCACUCUUCUGUCUUUAGACCUUUCUUUCAAUCCCAUUAAUUUUUCAAGAGAGUUUCCUUUCGGUGAUGCAAACUCCUCCUUUUCAAUUGAAAGCAACAACAAAAACUUUACUUUUCCCCAAUUAUAUUAUCUUAGCCUACGAUCUUGCAACCUUACAGAAUUUCCUGAAUUCAUCAAAACACAAGACAAGUUGGUUGCCCUAUAUCUUUCUAACAACCAAAUCCAUGGUUUUGUGCCUAAUUGGCUGUGGAAGACCACUCUUCUAUAUUUAGACCUUUCUUUCAACGCCAUUGAUUUCCCAAAACAAUUUCCCUUUGGUGAUGCAAACUCUUCCUUUCCAAUGCUGUGGGGGUUGAUUUUAAGAUCCUGUAAUAUAAGUACAUUUCCAGAGUUUUUAAAGAGUCAAGAGAACUUAGAAUAUCUUGACCUUUCAAACAACACAAUAAGUGGUGCAGUACCAAACUGGUUGUGGAAGAAAAGUUUGGGUUAUUUGUCUCUUUCUAACAAUCAUCUCUCAUCUUUGGACCAAUUUUUACCCAAUCAAUCUCUAACUUCUUCACAAGGCUCUUCCCUCAGACCUAUUUGCAAUUUGAGUCAACUUUUGAUUUUCAAUGCAUCUUAUAACAAUUUGAGUGGCACAAUUCCAAGUUGCUUAGGCAAUAUCAGUACUCUCGAUUUGUUGGACCUUCAAGGAAAUCACUUUAGCGGAAUCUUACCAAAUUUUGCAGAAGCAACCCGACUAUGGACACUCAAAGUUAGUGAGAAUAGAUUGGAAGGGAAGUUGCCGAAGUCACUAGCCAAAUGCACUCAACUCGAAGUUUUGGAUGUGGGAAACAACAUGAUGUAUGAUACAUUCCCUUUUUGGUUGGAAAAAUUACCUGCACUGAAGGUUCUGAUACUGCGAGAGAAUAGAUUUUAUGGUCAAAUUAAACAUUCGAAACAUAAAAAUGGUUUUCCGGUGUUGGAUGUACUUGACAUUGCUUCUAAUGAAUUUUCUGGUGAACUAUCCAUUGAUUUCCUUCAAGCUACUCAAUUAAGGUCACUCAAAAUUGGUGGGAAUAAAUUGGAAGGGAAGUUGCCAAGAUCAUUAGCCAAUUGCACAAAACUUGAGGUUUUAGACCUUGGAAACAAUAUGAUUCAUGACACAUUUCCGGUUUGGUUGGAGAUGUUGCCUUCCUUGAAGGUUCUCAUUCUACGAGCAAACAGAUUUUAUGGUGCAAUUAAAAAUUUCGAAAUGAAAGGUGGUUUUUCAAUGCUACGGAUAUUGGACAUUGCUUCCAACGACUUUUCAGGUGACUUAUCCAUAGAAUUUUUGCAAUGUUUGAGGGCAAUGACUUUGAUGACUGAUGGCAACAAAGCAAGGCUAGAUUAUAUUGGAGAACGGUACUAUCAAGACUCUGUGACAAUUGUUAAUAAAGGGAUUGUAAUUUUUUACAAGAAAAUCUUAACCAUUUUUACUUGUCUUGACCUUUCCAACAAUAGUUUCCGUGGGAGAAUACCAGAAAAAAUACAAUUUCUCAAAUCACUCAUGGUGCUAAACUUAUCCCAAAAUAGCUUCUCUGGCCAAAUUCCAUUAGCACUUGGGAACCUAAAAGACCUUGAGUCUUUGGACCUCUCACAGAACAAACUUUCCGGGAAGAUUCCUCCUCAACUUACAAGUCUAACUUUCCUGGAAGCACUAAACCUGUCUUACAACCAACUUGAAGGGAGCAUACCACAAAGCAACCAAUUCAAUACAUUUUCAACUGAUUCUUACAAAGGGAAUCCAAGAUUAUGCGGGCCGCCUUUGUCAUGGAAAUGCAAUGAAUUUGGUGUUCUGGUGCCCCUUCCAAAGAAAGAUGUAGAUUCAUGGGUAGAUGGUAUAUCUGUUUGGAAAAUUGCAUUGAUCGGUUAUGGUAGUGGAUUGGUCAUUGGUUUAUGUAUGGGAUACACAGUGCUGAAUGAGUUCGGAAAUAUAUGGCUAGACAAAUUCAAAAAGAAAGGGAAAAGGAAGAAGAUAAGCAUCAAAAUUCAUGUUUCAAAAUAGCUGUGCAGGAGGAACCAGAAACAAGAUAUGGCAUCUAAAAGGAAAAGAGACAGGUCUAACAACAAAAUAAUCUUAAAAGACCAAGCUUGAGCAAAGAUCCUUUGUUGUUUAAUUAGUCGCAUACAUGCUGUAUCAAUGAACCAAAAAAGAUGAAGACAAAAUGAGAUUGUUUGAGACUAAGUCCUGAUCAUGAUGGAGAUGGAAAUGGAGUGAGAUAUAAUUAUAAAAACCUUUUCAAGAUAUCUGGUCUAUUUAUCAUUCUUUGAAGACAAAACAUUUUGCCCUUCUUGCCUGGCAUGGCUAAUUUUGUUUAAAAAAAUCCAGGCAGUGCUGGAAGUUCUUAUUCAUACAGGAAUUUAUCCUGAAGUUGUAAAUGGUAAUGUAUAUGACCGAUUCAUUCAAGAAAUUAUAGAUAUUUGGAGACAUAUGA